UACGAAGGGGGCUAGCGUUGUUCGGAUUUACUGGGCGUAAAGCGCACGUAGGCGGAUUGUUAAGUCAGGGGUGAAAUCCCAGAGCUCAACUCUGGAACUGCCUUUGAUACUGGCAAUCUCGAGUCCGGAAGAGGUGAGUGGAACUCCUAGUGUAGAGGUGGAAUUCGUAGAUAUUAGGAAGAACACCAGUGGCGAAGGCGGCUCACUGGUCCGGAACUGACGCUGAGGUGCGAAAGCGUGGGGGAGCAAACAGG
rnacentral:rRNA from 1 species